rnacentral:rRNA from 1 species
UACGUAGGGUGCGAGCGUUAAUCGGAAUUACUGGGCGUAAAGCGUGCGCAGGCGGUGAUGUAAGACAGGUGUGAAAUCCCCGGGCUUAACCUGGGAACUGCAUUUGUGACUGCAUCGCUGGAGUGCGGCAGAGGGGAAUGGAAUUCCGCGUGUAGCAGUGAAAUGCGUAGAUAUGCGGAGGAACACCGAUGGCGAAGGCAAUCCCCUGGGACGGUACUGACGCUGAGACGCGAAAGCGUGGGGAGCGAACAGG